UACGUAGGCAGCGAGCGUUGUUCGGAAUUACUGGGCGUAAAGAGUGUGUAGGCGGUGCUCCCAGUCUGUUGUGAAAUCUCCCGGCUUAACUGGGAGGGUGCAGCGGAAACUAGAGUGCUAGAGGGUGGGAGAGGUAAGCGGAAUUCCUGGUGUAGCGGUGAAAUGCGUAGAGAUCGGAAAGAACACCAACGGCGAAAGCACUCUGCUGGGCCGACACUGACACUGAGAGACGAAAGCUAGGGGAGCGAAUGGG
rnacentral:rRNA from 1 species